CUUCAACGAGCCCAGCCACAGCGGCUGUUCCGCGUCACGGCCCUGCCCGUACGUGGCCAGCAGGGCCUGCGCCUC
rnacentral:antisense_RNA from 1 species